UACGGAGGGUGCAAGCGUUGCUCGGAAUUACUGGGCGUAAAGGGCGUGUAGGCGGUUUCGUAUGUCUGGCGUGAAAGCCCCGGGCUCACCUCGGGAAGUGCGUCGGAAACUGCGAGACUAGAGUCCCGGAGAGGGAGGUGGAAUUCCAGGUGUAGCGGUGAAAUGCGUAGAUAUCUGGAAGAACACCGGUGGCGAAAGCGGCCUCCUGGACGGUGACUGACGCUGAGACGCGAAAGCGUGGGGAGCAAACAGG
rnacentral:rRNA from 3 species